UAGACUAACUGUGAAAUGCUGACUGAUGGGUCCUUGGUAAACAACAGGUGUAGACUAACAGUGAAAUGCUGACUGAUGGGUCCUGGGUAAACAACAGGUGUAGACUAACAGUGUAAUGCUGACUGAUGGGUCCUUGGUAAACAACAGGUGUAGACUAACAGUGAAAUGCUGACUGAUGGGUCCUUGGUAAACAACAGGUGUAGACUAACAGUGAAAUGCUGACUGAUGGGUCCUUGGUAAACAACAGGUGUAGACUAACAGUGAAAUGCUGACUGAUGGGUCCUUGGUAAACAACAGGUGUAGACUAACAGGGAAAUGCUGACUGAUGGGUCCUUGGUAAACAACAGGUGUAGACUAACAGUGAAAUGCUGACUGAUGGGUCCUGGGUAAACAACAGGUGUAGACUAACAGUGAAAUG